GACGAAGGAUGCAAGCGUUAUCCGGAUUCAUUGGGUUUAAAGGGUGCGUAGGCGGACUUGUAAGUCAGUGGUGAAAUCUCUUCGCUUAACGAAGAAACUGCCAUUGAUACUGCAGGUCUAGAGUAUAGAUGACGUUGGCGGAAUAUGACAUGUAGUGGUGAAAUACUUAGAUAUGUCAUAGAACACCGAUUGCGAAGGCAGCUAACGAAAACUAUAACUGACGCUGAGGCACGAAAGUGCGGGGGAUCAAAACAGG
rnacentral:rRNA from 1 species